AGAGUUUGAUCAUGGCUCAGAACGAACGCUGGCGGCAGGCUUAACACAUGCAAGUCGAACGCACCGCAAGGUGAGUGGCAGACGGGUGAGUAACGCGUGGGAACCUUCCCUGUAGUACGGAAUAACCUCGGGAAACCAAGGCUAAUACCGUAUACCUCCUCCGGGAGAAAGAUUUAUCGCUACAGGAUGGGCCCGCGUUG
rnacentral:rRNA from 1 species